GCCGUCCUGACUGUGGAAAGGCUGUUACACACAUGCACCAUCCGGUUUGCUCAAUUCAACCUCUGGGUGUUUUACAUAGGGGGAAGUGUCUGAGGGAAAACGUUUAUCCAACUUGAUGCAUUGGUAGGCUAAAUAGAAAAGAUGGAGUGACUAUUGUAAACCAUGGAAGAGAUUUUUUCAAAUGAGACCGCCCGUGCGUCACACCUGGGAGCUGAGCUGAAGCCCAUGAUUUGAUCCGCGAGCCAUUAGACGCCAGAACGAGCAGACCGUGGGCUAAUAGAAUAGUGUCACAUGAAGUUUCGAUUACAACCCAGACCAAGGGACUCACUAACUGUUCACUACAGGUCUUAAAGGGAUCGAGACACAUGGAAAACAUCAGGUUGGGUCACCACAGCAACCUUGGAUGGAGGCGAAAUAAGAGGAGAGGGCGAUCGCUCAUUAUGGACUGCCCAACAGAAACUCAUCCCUCAUCUGGAAAGAGUAGGAAUUACACCUCGGAUGCAAACUCAUCUAGUUUUAACAGAUUCCAACAUACUGCCACAACUGUGCAGAGUAUUUGGCUAAGAGGUCCACUGGAACACAAACAUGUCGUGAUGUGUCAGAUUACUUCCUGGACAGAAUGCAUCCGAAUACUACCUGUACUAGAACUGCCUCUACAUACGAGAUAGACCAGAUGAGACCAGAGCAUGGGCUAUCAGAUGAUGACUGCCUCCGGAAUUAUAAACUGAUAUAGUUCCAUGGGUUUGUGUUGCAAAAGUACAGGAAUUCAUUAGAAACACUCAAUAUGAAGUGAUCACAUACUCAUGUAUUCCUUUAAUAAUAUUUUGGCUUUGUGUGAUUCUGUGACUAAAUCUAUUCUGUAUUCUUGAUUAAGUCUUCUAAUAAAGCUUUAUUUGGCUA